UAUCUAUGGUAGUGGUCUAUUGCUUCUUGUAUCAUUCGUUGCUUUUAAUUUUGUGUGCAAUUUUGAUAAAAAAUCGGAAAAAAGUACUAGGACGUACAAAAUUUUAUCAAAAUAGAUUCUGCAAUUUCUGUUUUAUCGGUUGUAUGUUUUUCUAGAGGCUGUCGGAUUAGUUUUACGUUUCCAAUUAAUAAAAUUAAUAUAUGUUGGAAUACAUUUUUCCCUGCCUCUGCCAAACGACUUUAGCAGUUCAGCCUACAUAUAUAAUGUAUUUCCUUCCGAAGUCUUAAAGGACCCUGUUGUCAUGAGGUUGGCUAACAAAUAGAGAGAUUAGGAAGUUAAUUUCGACCCUAGUGAUGACCACAAGGGAUGUCUGCACUGAUAUUGUUUCCACACAUGUAAACCAUGGAAUGCUACAUUCUGCAGCUACUACAGAUUGAAAAUAAACGAGUGAGGUGAUUGAAGUUCGUUUUGGUGCUACUAGAGAAAACAAAUCGUCUCCUUCCUAGGGCGUUUUAUUUGUUAACUUUUCAUCUUGGGGGCUCUUGUAGUUAAUUAAUUAAGGAACAUUGAAAGAAUUCCAGAUCCCGUUAAAUUAUGGAGCAUUGGUUGUGUCAGUCCUCCAUCGCUUCAGAAAGUAACUGCACCUAUGGCGGUAAAGAAAAUAUGAAAAUGCGAUUUUUCCAUCGAGAAUGGAGGCAGUGUGAGGUUGCUGAAGAAAGGAUUUAUGACAAUGAACUGAGUGCUCAUUAAAUGAGAAGGAAUUGCAGUUAAUUUUGGUGCCACUGAAACAACGGAUGCCUUUGAUGUGUUAGCCUUGCAACAUUAUGCAGUUAACUUUAGCCCUGAGAAUAGGAUGCAAUUGGAAAUUAUUUGGAAGCCACUGAAACGACAAAUUGUCAGCUGUAAUAUCUCUUCUAGAUUUGGUUUCCUCUUCAUACUGGUAGAUUUUAGAACGCUACAUUCUACAGUUAAUUAAGAUUGCCCAUUAAAUGAGAAGGAAUUGCAGUGAAUUUUUGUGCUACUGAAACAACCGAUUCUUUUGAUCUCUUCGCCUUGCAACGUUCUGCAGUUAGUUUUGGCCCUGAGAAUAGGAUGCAAUUGGAAAUUAUUUGGAAGCCACUGAAACGACAAAUUGUC